CCUACGGGUGGCUGCAGUGGGGAAUAUUGCACAAUGGGGGGAACCCUGAUGCAGCAACGCCGCGUGGGUGAAGAAGUACUUCGGUCUGUAAAGCCCUGUCAGCCGGGAAGAAAAUGCCGGUACCUGACCAAGAAGCCCCGGCUAACUACGUGCCAGCAGCCGCGGUAAUACGGAGGGGGCAAGCGUUAUCCGGAUUUACUGGGUGUUAAGGGGGCGUAGACGGCAAGGCAAGGCUGGCGGGAAAGCCCGUGGGUCAACCACGGGACUGCUUUGGAAACUGUGUUGCUGGAGUGCAGGAGGGGUAAGCGGAAUUCCUAGUGUAGCGGUGAAAUGCGUAGAUAUUAGGAGGAACACCGGUGGCGAAGGCGGCUUACUGGACUGUAACUGACGUUGAGGCUCGAAGGCGUGGGUAGCAAACAGGAUUAGAUACCCUUGUAGUC
rnacentral:rRNA from 1 species